UGUGGGAGGUCAAUAUCGACACAACCCCAGCUCGGAAAAUGACUGGCCCGAGGAGCAGAGCAGUUGUUCAGGGAGAAGCCAGAUUGAGUACAUGGCAGCACUGUAACAGUAAUACUGUUCCAAGCCUGAAGGCUCUCGGUCACUGCUAUCAGUCCUCCAAGGAUCCCCGCUGAAGGUGCUUUGCUGUUUCAUGGGGCAGCAAAAAUGUAUUUUUCUGUCACCAUGCUGCUGGUCAGAAGUGGCAUCUAUCAACUGAGCCAGGGCAACCACAGUGCAGGAUGGUCCAGACAGCGGAACUCUUUCUCUAACAGACUGAUGAGCUUCGCUGUCACAAGGACCGAUACAGGAAACAUUUCCUUGCCAAAGGGAUAACUCUCUACAACACCUCACCUCUGUCAAACAGAGAACUCUCAGCUUUUUAGUUUUUUGUCUCAACCACACUCCACUCUGUUUUGCUCCUGCAAUAAUCUUGCACAUGUUGAAUUCGCAUAUCGGUUUACUGCCUCAUUUAUUUUUUAUUUAAA